rnacentral:ncRNA from 1 species
CUAAAUAUUUGCCAAACUUAAUGUGAGUUAAGGACGGAAAGCUACGGGUCUAUUGGAUGAUAGACGGCUGGGUUGCACAA